UUUCAUAAACUAGAACCACAUCAGUUAAUCAUAGCAAUAUAAUUGUGCAGUGUAAAAGGGCCUCAGACCACACAUCAGUCUAGUCCCACAUCUUCUUUCUGUGCCCAGCCAGAUGCCUCCAGGAAAUUUACAAAGAAGACAGGAAGCAACAACAAUCCUUGACUGCAACUGGUGAUCUGAGAUAAUCACCUUUCAGAUAUGGCAUGCCACACGCUGAAUCAAUGGCACAUUGAAAAGCAAGGGAUAUGGAGAAGAGGACCCUAGCUUGACAGAGGCAGAGAACCACGGUUCAGCUUCAAGGCUGAUAGAAAAGAUUACAGCAAUGACUCAACAAUGGUCUCAUUGACAAGUGCAAAGUUCAAACUUGUGUUUGGGCUGUGCCCUUCAUAGUCCAGGUAGGAGCUAAUGCAAUCAAAUGGCUCCCUAUACCAAAAAACAAGACAAAACAAAAAUAAAAUUUAA